GUGAAGGAGAACUGGUGUCACCAGCGGGCAUCAGUGCGGGAGAGGGAGAAGUGCCCGGGACCUGUGUGGUGAGGAUUUCAUAUUCGAGGGAAGUCCCUUAAAGGAAAGCGACAUUAAUCAGUACUGACGCGACCAGGGAGACGCAGCUGUCGCCGAGAAGUGCACUCACGCCGUGGACGCUUGGAAAGCUGCGGCAUCUCCCACACGAUGCUUGUUCCCCCUCGUACUUUACGGGUCGUGAGGGCCCCAGAGGAGACGCUGCGGUCAUAGACACAUCCCUGCCCCGCCCUGGGAAGUCACCAAACCUCGGUUUUCUCACCUGAAAAAUGGGGCUGAUGACACCCACCUGGAAGCAGAGUCGGGAAUGAUUUCCAGUCCGCUGCCCUGGACCCUCAGCUGGCAACGCGAAUGGAAGUGCUCCUCACCACGGUGCUAUCUUACUUGGCUUCUUCCUGCUCCGCUGGGAAAGCUGCUCGCUGUUGACCCCUCGCCAGCCCCUCUCCUUCCCUCUCCUGUGUUUGGGGGCCCUGCGGAAUAUUUGGUGGGUGUGGUUUCUCUGUCAGGAAGUUACCUCUGGCCAGUGUAGUGUGAAGUCCCUAGUUGGCAGGGCUGAGGUCCGUAUAGCUCACACGAUCAGAAGUCAGGAAAUCCUUGGCUUCCAGAGAAUUCUGUCUCCUUGUUCUCACUGCUGUAGCUUGCAGGGUUGCGUUAGGGGUUUCUCAAGAAUUGUUUCCUGGGCCUGUUGUACUCUACUCCACUUCCCAUCUAACCUCUCCAACCAGUUAAUUGUUGCUUUCAGGUCCCUAUGUAUUUAUUUAUUUAUUUUAUUUUAUUUUUUUGGUACCGGGGAUCGAACUCGGGUCCUUCCGCUUGCUCAGCAGGCAGCGAAACCUCUGAGCUAAAUCCUCGGGCCCUCAGGUCCCUGUUUAAAUGCGUCUGUCCCGACAUGUAAAUACCAAAUAGCUUCUCUGGUGUGAGAAACUGAAAGUGUAAAUAAGAAUCAAAAUGUGUAACAGAUAAUGUGAAACAGGAAGAAAAGGAAAGAAGGGAAAGGAAAAAAUUUGAG
rnacentral:lncRNA from 1 species